CAAAACUUUCCCCGAAGAAGACGACUCUCCUCUCGACAGUGGUAAAGUGACCUCUGUUGCUAACUGCUGGCCUGCUAUUGAACCAUGCCUCCUCCUGUCGCAGUGUCGCCUUUAAUAAAGACUGCCAGGUAUUCAGCUUUAAUUGCUGGCAUUAUCUACGGUAAACGGCGAUAUGAUUAUCUGAAGCCUAUUGCAGCCGAGGACAGGAGGAUUGAGGAGGAGGAGAAGAAAAUUCGACAGGAGCAGGAGAGGAUUGCCAAGGAGUUAGCAGAAGGU